rnacentral:rRNA from 1 species
UGGCGGACGGGUGAGUAACGCGUGGAAAACCUGCCGUACACUGGGGGAUAACACUUAGAAAUAGGUGCUAAUACCGCAUAAGCGCACAGCUUCGCAUGAAGCGGUGUGAAAAACUCUGGUGGUAUACGAUGGUUCCGCGUCUGAUUAGCUAGUUGGUGGGGUAAUGGCCUACCAAGGCAACGAUCAGUAGCCGGCCUGAGAGGGUGAACGGCCACAUUGGGACUGAGACACGGCCCAAACUCCUACGGAAGGCAGCAG